rnacentral:tRNA from 1 species
GGCGGGAUAGCUCAGUUGGCUAGAGCAUGCGGUUCAUACCCGCAGUGUCGGGGGUUCGAAUCCCUCUCCCGCUACCA